AAAAAAAUUUUAGAUAAAUUCUGCUCAAUGAGUAAGUUAAAUAGCUGCAGUAAAUUAACUGUACUAAGGUAGCAUAAUAAGUUGCUUUAUAAUUAAAAGCUUGAAUGAAAGAAAUAAUGUGAAAGAAGCUUUUUAAACUAAAAUAGUGAAAAUUAAUAUUUAAGUGAAAAAUCUUAAAUAGAAUCAAAAGACAAGAAGACCCUUUAGAACUUUACAAAUUGAUUUAAUAUCAUUUAGUUAAUUUGUUAAAUUGGGGAGAUUUUUAAAUAAAUAAAUCUUUAGAUAUAAAAAAAUGAUUUAAAUCAGAUUAAAUUAUCCAAAUGUGAAAUAAAACAAGUUACCUAAGGGAUAACAGCGCAAAAUUUUUGAGAAGUUCUCAUUUACAAAAUAAAUUGCGACCUCGAUGUUGGAU
rnacentral:rRNA from 1 species